rnacentral:lncRNA from 1 species
GCUGCCUUGGAAACUGCCUGAGGCCAGGGGCUCUCCUCCUGAGGAGAGGAUGCUUUUCAUUGCCUUUAAGCUUCCUGGUCUUCUGGAAGAGGAGAGGAAUCCCCCAAACCAAGGGGAGAGGAGUGCCAGUCAGGGAGAGAUGAGAGGUGGGGUGCUGCCCACUGGGUUGGCCCUGUGGUCAUCUUUCUCACUUUGCUGCUUCCACAGGUAUGUGAUGUCCCUGGAGGGAUGCGGCCUCUCGACCUCACUUGCCAAGUGAGGGGCAGCUCCAUGCAGUGCUGUGAGGCAGUGCACACCUGGAAGGAAUGAACUUUGAACCCAGAGGAAUAGAGUGAUGGUCUUUCAACUUACCUCCCUUUGGCGAUGACCAGCCAGUCCCGGAAAGGGAGGAGGUGCCUCUCAUGGGUCUCAGGGCUCUAGGUCAGCAUCUCAGGGCUGUGGAAGGUGGGCUGACAUGCUGGUGGGACAGCUCCAGCUGUUGGAGCGUCGCUGGGGACACCAGGCUUUUCCUGGGAGGAAUCAAUGUGAGGAAAGCCUGGCAGAUUGAUUGGCAAGGAGUAAGUGAAGAGCCUCCUCUCAAAACAAGUCACCCCUAGUUUGGCUUCAUUGGAGGUGGAAAUUAGCAGGGAAAACAGUGAAGAGGCGAAUGACAGAUUGUUCUUUUAAAACCUGAACUUUAAAAUAGGGAUUUACAACAAAACACAGUAAAUCGGGUUGAACCAUAGUUUGGCCCUGCUUCAGUGAAUAAGCUAGCAACCACAUGUAAUGAAAAUGUGAAGGAUUUCUGUGACAGUUUAAAUGUCAAGCAAUAGUUCCCAAACUUUUUCAUGCCACAGCACCCCAACACACAGUAACUUUACGUCCCAAUAGUAGGUGAGCGGAGGCAGGGGAGCGGAGGCAGGGGAGGCUGGCCCACCCAGACCGCGUGUGGCCUCCCCCAGGGCAGAGGCGAGCAGUGUAGUGGCAUAACUCAUUUGUGGCACAUGGGUGUGAAGCUCUGACUUAUUUGUUUACUUAGGAAGUUUUCCCCGAAGGUUGAAAAGGUCAGGUUUAGUGUGCUGCCAAAUCGAAACAAAUGAAUCUAAAUGAAUGGCUUCCUUCCAUAUAGUGAUUUAGCAGCAGAGCAGAACAACCCUUAUCAGGGAGGCUCAGGUAGUUGUAAUUCAUGACUUGACUCCAGUAUAUUCUCCUUGCAAUGCUCAGUUCCUGCUGCUUGUUCAUAAUUUGUUCAUGUCCUGGUCAUUUACCCUGGGUGACCU